GUCCACGCCCUAAACGAUGCGAACUGGACGUUGGGAGCAACUAGGCUCUCAGUGUCGAAGCUAACGCGUUAAGUUCGCCGCCUGGGGAGUACGGUCGCAAGACUGAAACUCAAAGGAAUUGACGGGGGCCCGCACAAGCGGUGGAGUAUGUGGUUUAAUUCGAUGCAACGCGAAGAACCUUACCUGGCCUUGACAUCCACGGAAGCCCUGAGAGAUCGGGGUGUGCCUUCGGGAACCGUGAGACAGGUGCUGCAUGGCUGUCGU
rnacentral:rRNA from 1 species